AUUGAACGCUGGCGGAAGACCAAACACAUGCAAGUCGAACGAGUGGCGGACGGGUGAGUAAUGUCUGGGAAACUGCCUGAUGGAGGGGGCUAACUACUGGAAACGGUCGCUAAUACCGCAUACCAUCAGAUGUGCCCAGACGGGACUAGCUUGUUGGUGGGGUAACGGCUCACCAAGGAGACGAUCCCUAGCUGGUCUGAGAGGAUGACCAGCGACACUGGAACUGAGACACGGUCCAGACUCCUACGUGAGGCAGAAGUGGGGAAUAUUGCACAAUGGGCGCAAGCCUGAUGCAGCCAUGCCGCGUGUAUAAAGAAGGCCUUCGGGUUGUAAAGUACGUUCAGCGGGGAGGCGUUACCCGUAGAAGAAGCACCGGCUAACUCCGGGCCAGCAGCCGCGGUAAUUC
rnacentral:rRNA from 1 species